GUUAAGGUGGCAGAGCUCGGUGAUUGCAAAAGAUUUAAGCUCUUUUCACAAAGGUUCAAAUCCUUUCCUUUGCU
rnacentral:tRNA from 1 species